AAGCACCCAAUUAUGAUCAUCAUAAUCCACUCGCCACACAUAGUAACCAAGCAAUCUCUUCUCUUUGGCAUAGGCGAUCUUAGCUCUAACAGCCUCCACAUCAUCAAAACCAAACCAAACCGCCCCAGUGGAGAAGUAAUUCACCACAUAAGUUGAAUUGUACAUAACUUGAACAUUAGGAGCAUAGUUCUUGAUGUGAUUCUUGAUAGUCCUAUAGGUCACAAGGCCAUCAUUAGUCAAAGCUGGUCCUGCUGCUGCUGCUCCAAUACCAUUGUCUUCAGGUUUCACAAGCCUCCAUGCAUAGCCAUAGAAAGGCAAAGACAUAGCCAACUUAUCAGCCGAUAGCCCUCUCUCAAUCCAUGCCUUUAAAACCUGAUCGGUACUUUUAGCAAAGCCGCCGCUACUUGAGCCAUGGAGAGCCGCAGGUGGCGCAGUGAAGUUUGUUGACAAAGGCUCGUAGUAGUGUUCAGUAGCAACAUGAACCCAAUUCAAGUUUCGUUGCAUCGAAUUCACAAGGUACGAAUUGUCUGGUGGUGAAUAAUGAAACCUUGCGGUCAGGAUCAGCUGGGAUUGCUGGCGGUUAGAGCUUUUUGCCUCUAAUUUUGUGGCAGCAGCUCGCCACUCGUCGAAAAGUAAACCAAUAUUGAGCAUAUCGGUGCUUGUGUUAGGAGAUGUCCAAGCAAAGUCUAGGCCCUUAAAGCCAUAAAGCCUAGCUAUUCUUAUUGAAGAGUCGAUGAAAGAUUUCCUGUGAGAAGAAUUUCUCACCAUUGAAGAAUAUAUAGAAUAGUUUGUAUUUCUUCCUUGUCCAAUGGAGAGAAGUGCAGUGAUUGAUGGGUUCUUUUGUUUCAUUUGUUUCACAGUGCCUGUAAAUUUGGGGAAUAUUUGAUUUCCAUCAAAUGGUGAUGAUAAAGAUAGCUGGUAUGUGGUGGAAUUGAUAUCAGCAGAAGAGCAAAUAAGGUGAGUGAAGAGAUCAUAAUUUAUGCCCGAAAUGGCGGAAACAUCGCCUGAAUACAAGUAACCGACCCUGAUCCACGGUUUUGCUUUCGCGGGAUGAAAUUCUGAAUAGAAAAACAUGUGGAAGAUGAUGCUGAUAAUUAUGGAUGCCAUUUGAGAGGCUUAAGCUUCUUAAUUAUUACCACUUCGAAGGGAAUGGAAAUGAAUGCACACUAAGAGAAAUUAAAUAAACACAAGUUUCACAGUUCAUUAAGUUCUUAUGUGUACUAUUAACGUAUAGGUUCAUUUCGUUGCCCAAAAAAAAUCUUAUGUACUCCUGAUAGGGACACACACAUUGCAUGUUAAGAUGAUGAUAGGCGAUGCGACCAUUGCCUAAGAACUAAGAUUUUCUUCUAUCGCCUGGGUGACUUUUCAUGAAGAAAAAUAAUGUUUUGAUUGACAUUUGGUUAAACUGAUGACAUAUUUCGGGCUACAAAUAUCAGUAUUGUUUUAUUAAAUAAUAAAAAUAAUAAUUUUACGUGCAUGUUGAAGGUUAUAUUGCAGUCUUUUGAGCCUGUGUUGAAUUUCAUUCGUGUGCGUUCAUUUAUUAUCCAUCCCCUUUUUUCUCUGAGUCUGCUAGCCGUAGUCAUCUUAAAAGGAUAACAUGUUUAAUGCGUGUAAAUGCACCUCAUAAGUAGUUAAGAAAGAUUUGACCAAACCAGAUAAUUUUCCUCUUAACACAGAAGUAGUUAUCGGACUAAUUAAGAUUCUAAUCCAUUUAAGAAAUAUUCAAAAAGGGUUAUUGUCACUACUUUAGUCCUUGUUGUUUUAUUAAAGAAAAAAAAAAGAUAUUUAAAGAAGCAUCACAUAAAUCCUUCCUAAUUACAUUUUGUUUCAUUCAAGUUCUUGACUUAAUUUGACUGCUUGGAAAAAUUAGUAAAAAGGUAAAAAUGAAAAAAAAAAUGUAAAUUCCAGUUAUUAGACUAAAUAUAUAUAAAUUUGCAACAAGUAGCAAAAGUUUAGAAUAUGAAAAACCCUAUUUUGUUUACGAAAUAAAGGAAAUUCGAAUCAUUUUCAAAAAAAAAAUCUCUAAAAGUUUGAAAACUAAGAUUUUAAGGUCCUUCUAGACUAACCAUAAAUAACAUGAAUUUACCAAAUUAAGCAAACUCGAAUUAUUAUUACACAAUAAAAUUUUACUAAUGGAAAUAAGAAAACAAAAUAAAUAACACUCAAAUUCGAUGUCUAAAAAACAAAGAUAAAAAUCAUGAGAGCAAUAGAAAAAAAAUAAAAUAAACUAAAACUUGCAAAAUGACCAUGAAAGAAAUAAAUUUUUUUGCUGAACCAAGGGGCCGAUACAUAUAGCCUUAUUGUACUAGAUUCAUCUCACUGCAAGUUUCAAAACAAUAUAUUAUAUGUCUUAAACAAACUCUUGUAAAUUAAGUUAUGACCUUAAAAAAUAUCCUACUCAUCUUACAUAAAUAUCCUAUGUCACUAUAUAGCUAUACAAUAAUAAUAUAAUCCAAACACUUAUGGAGCAUAACUCACGCACCUCCAUUAAUAACCGUGAAAUUUACUCACAUUUUAUAAGAGAGAGGAAUGUUCUCAUUUAUUGGGGAUUAAACCAAAUAGUCUAUCUUCGAUAUUUCUGCUAGGUUGUGUCAGGUUGGGCUUUUUAGAAUUUCUUUGACGAAAAGUCAUUCUCUUCAACAGCCAAAUCUUGGGCCAGUGGGCAAUUAUGAAAGUCCAUUGGAUGCAUUGGACCAAACUAAACGUACAAUUUUUUUUUUCUUACAAAAAAAAAAUUAGAGUUGGACUAUUGACACCCCUCUCAUCUCCUCAUAAAACCCCCUUUUUAGUUAUAUUUAUUUUAUUUUAGAAAAUGCCCUUUUUUAGAUACACGUUUCUAAGUUUUUAAUUUUCAUUUGAUUUGUUUUAUUGUUAAAACUCAAAGUAUUAUUGUGUUAUUUUUUAAUUAUUUUCAAUUUUAUUAUUAAUCUACAUACAAAUUAAAAAUUUAUAUGGGUGAUAAGUUUUUUAGUGUUAAUCAUUGGUUGAAAUAACACAUAUUUCAAAUUAUAAUUUCAAAGCAAUUUUAAGUAUAAAAAUAUUUAAUCAAUAAGAAAUCAAAAGAGAAUAAUAGAUUAUUCUAAAUUUGUACAAUUUAUUUUAGUUAAAUAGGAAGUAAAAUAUAAAUUUUUUUAAAAAAUGAUUGAUUAUGAAUUAAGUAAUUUGCUGGGAAAAAAAAUCUAUAUAUGUUUAAUUUUCAAUUGUCUUUAAUUGUAAUUUUAUUUAAAGUGGUGUUUUGUAAGAAUAAUGUAGGGGUGCCAAUAGCUCCACUCAAAAAAUUAUAUCUAUAUAUUCUCUUCAACAACCUAAAACUGGGCCAAUGGGCAAUUAUGAAGUCCAUUGGAUGUAUUGCACCAAACUAAAAGUCCAAUUUUUUUUAUUACUACAAUAUAUAUAUAUAUAUAUAGUAGUUUUCUAAUUAGGGAUUCCUGACUUUAAUAAAGUCAUGGAUCAGCUAAAAGACAAAUAUACAGUGCAUUGGAGUCUGUGUUUAUUUUGUCUUUUAGCUAAUUCCUGAUUUUAUUAAAGUCAGGGAUCCCUGAUUGGAAAACUACUAUAUAUAUAUAUAAACAAAUGUUUUAAUUUAGAAUUUUAAAGUGCGGGAUAGUAUAUAUAUAUAUAUAUAUAAACAAAUGUUUUAAUUUAGAAUUUUAAAGUGCGGGAUAGUCUGGAAUAUGCAGUUUUAAAAACUUAAAACUGUAAGCCUUUAAAACCAUACAAUUUUAAAUUUUUCUCAAAUUUUCUCGUACUUUAAAAUUUCAUACUAAAAAACUACUACAUAUAUCAAUAAAUGAAAUGACACAAUACAGUUGGCUUGCCGUUGCAAAGCCUCUUUGUUUGUUAUUAUUUAUUGGCUUAUUGCAAUAAAGACUAAAGAGAGCUUUGAGCCAUGCAGCAUGGGAAGCUACAUUAAAAAAUAAAAGAAUUUAAAGCUUCAAGGGCAUAAAGCGUGCCCACCCAAUUAAAUUUUUCUUUAAAAAAGAAAAAAAAAGGCUGCAAUUGCAAUGACUUGAAUUUAUCAUCAAUUCUGGCUUAAUUUGCCCCCGUCAUUUUUUCAAGGAGAAUGUCCAACUCAAUUGUGACGGCUACUGCUUCAAUUUUAAUUUUAUUUUUCUCAAGAAUAGUCAUUUUCAUCCACCAUAUUCCUGCAUCCUGAUGCGUCCUUAUUGCUUAUAUUAUUAUAGACCACUUUUGGAAGCAUAACAAAUUUUGCACACAUGGUAUCCAUCUUGCGGACCCAAAUGUUGAUGAUAUACUUGCAUGCUGCAAAAUAAGCCCUUUUAAUAACUUAUCAUCUGGUAAAUGAUAGUUUAUUUAUUUAUUACAUAACAAAUAUGUUAUGCCAUAUGCCACCUAUUAGUGAAAGAUGUUUAAAUAACUACUCUUGUAGUAAACUCCUGAAUGAUGGCAAGUUAGAUUUAUACUUAAUGCACUAACUUCGAUAUUAUUUUUUUUUUACAUGGUAAUUAUUUUCUUCUCGCUAGGAAGUUGCAAUGAUUGAUAAUAAGGGAGCAUUUUGCUUUAUAUACAAUCCUUAAUAGAAGAUUUUCUAGAGAUGUUUAUUAUUAUUAUUAUUAUUAUUAAUCCCGCGUUGGUCAGGAUUUGAUUACUAUAAUAUUGACGAUUCGAUUUCUAACAAUUUUGUUUAUUAUAAAAUUAAAACAAAUGAGUAGUCAUCUAGAAAAUCAUAAUCUCUUUAAAGGCAUCAAAAGGCAAUGGCAAUGUAAAGUGAAUGUGCAUGAAUCUAUUAGUAACAUGUUUGCACGUGUAUUAAUCUUAAAAUAGUCAGUCUUGAAUAUUCCUGGAGGUAUAAAAGCCCUUGAGUUAUCCCUUCAAUGAUAUGAACACGUUUUUUCCAAUCCAAAAUAAGUCUUCUGAUGGGAUCUACAACAAAUAUAUAGUUUUGGACAAUAAGUGAUAUGCAAAUGAAUUUUAUACACAAUUAAUAUUAACUUGAUUUCAGAACAAACCAAAAAGGUAGCAAUCCAAGCUUUUGUUUGGCAUGUAUUCGUAGACCAGCAUCCGUUCCUCACUGUCAAUGCAAAAACCUAAAACUCUAAUAAGAUUUACAUGUUGGAGUUUUGCAGUAAGAAUAACCUCAUUCUUAAACUCCUCAAAUCCCUGUGCGGAUGAUUUCGAAAGUUUCUUCACUGCUAUCACCACUCCACAGGGUAAUACACCCUGCAACCCAAAAAAAAAACCACGUUCAUAUAAAGCUUUCACUAAUUAGAGACGCUGAGAAAUGUUAGCCAAACAAUAUGCUACCCCCCAAAGUUGAGGGCACCAUUUUAAGUCCUUUAAGUCCCCAUGGACGCAAAAUGUAAAUCUCCUCUCACAGAAUAUGGAUAUGGGUAGAGGUAUCUUCCUCAAAUGUUAGUCGAAGUAGUUAUAUCCCUCUAGUGUGAGGUUAGAGGUCUCAUCUCUAAUAGGCAUAGAGUUUUAAAUUAUAUGUUUUGGGCCUCUGAAUUCUACGACGAGUGUACAAAUUCAAACUUCCGAUAGGAUCCAAAUUGCAACAUUGUGGAUUGUAACAAAUUAAAAUAUAGGUACACACACACACACAUGUUACCUUGUAAACAGGACCAUAUCCACCCUCCCCAAGGUUAUUUCUAAUUGAAAAUCCCUCGGUGGCCGCCUCAAUAUCAGCCAAACUAUAUACUCUGAGAUUAGGAACAUUUCUGUUAAAGUCUCCAGCUUCUGUUUCAUUAUUUUCUCUCGUGUUUGAUGCUUUAGCAGAAUCCUCUGUUCCUAACAUCAACCAAGAGUAAAUAUUAGAUAAUUAAUUGUAUGUCAGCCUAAGUUUUAUAUAUAUAUGAAAUGCAUGCUUAAUUAUAAUUGGUAGCUGAAGCUUGUUACCUUCUAUUAACUUGAGCCUUUUCAUCUGGUUGUAUUUAUAUGCACAACAACUUAGAAGGAGAGUCAAAGCUGCCGCUGCAGUCGAAAUGAGUACCAAGGACAGAUGGCGGUUAUUACUAUGUUCAUCUUUGUCAGCUGAAGCAGAAGUAAUGCUGUCUUUUUGUGCAGGAAAUAUGUAUAGUUCACCAAUUAAUAAUAACUAGCUAGAGAUGCCAUAAAAAUCAAUAUUUAUUGGAGAGAACAAUUAUUGCAUAUAUAAAUACCUGCAGCUUGAGAAAGCACCCAAUUAUGAUCAUCACAAUCAACUCGCCACACAUAGUAACCAAGCAAUCUCUUCUCUUUGGCAUAGGCAAUCUUAGUUCUAACAGCCUCCACGUCAUCAAAGCCAAACCAAAUCGUCCGAAUCGAGCAGUAAUUCACCUCAUAAGUUGAAUUGUACAUAACUUGGACAUCAGGACCAUAGUCCUUGAUGUGAUUCUUGAUUUCCUUAUAAGUCGCAAGGCCGCUAUCAUACAAAGCUGGUCCUGUUGCUGCUGCACCAAUACCAUUGUCUUCAGGUUUCACAAGCCUCCAUGCAUAGCCAUAGAAAGGCAAACACAUAACCAACUUAUCUGCCGAUAAUCCUCUCUCAAUCCAUGCCUUUAAAACCUGAUCGGUACAUCUAGCAAAGCCGCCGCUACUUGAGCCAUAGAGAGCCGCAGGUGGCGCCGUGAAGUUUGUUGACAUAGGCUCGCAGUAGCUAGCAGUAACCGCAUGAACCCAAUUCAAGUUUCGUUGUAUCGAAUUCAAAAGAUAUGAAUUCGCUGGUGGUGAAUAACGAAAUCUUGCGGUCAAAAUCAGCGGGGAUUGCUGGCGACUAGAGUUUUUUGCCUCUAAUUUUGUAGCAGCAAUUCGCCACUCGUCAAAAAGUAAACCAAUAUUGAACAUAUCGGUGCUUGUUUUAGGAGCUGUCCAAGAAAAGUCUAGGCCCUGAAAGCCAUAAAGCCUAGCUAUUCUUAUUGAAGAGUCGAUGAAAGAUUUUCUGUGAGAAGGAUUUCUCACCAUUGAAGAAUAAAUAGAAUAGUUUGUAUCCUUUCCUUGUCCAAUGGAGAGAAGUAUAGUGAUUGAUGGGUUCUUUUUUUUCACGGUGUCUGCGAAUUUGGCGAUUUGAUUUUCAUCGGAUGGUAAUGAUAAAGAUAGCUGGUAAGUGGUGGAAUUGAUAUCAGCAGAAGAGCAAAUAAGGUGAGUGAAGAGAUCAUAAUUUAUGCCCGAAAUGGUGGACACGUCGCUUAGAUCCAAGUGACCGACCCUAAUCCACGGUUUUGCUUUCGCGGGAUGAAGUUCUGAAUAGCAACGUGUGGAAGAUGAUGCUGAUAAUUAUGGAUGCCAUUUGAGACUUUGUUAGGAAUGGAAAUGGAUCCGCAGAAGAGAAAUUAGAUAAACACUAGUUUCACAGUUCAUUUAAGUUCUUAUGUAAACUAUUAACGUAGAGGUUCAUUUCGUUCAGAAAAAAAUCUUAUGCGCUCCUGGAUAGGCACAUACAUUGCAUGUUAAGAUGAUGAUAGGCGAUGCGACCAUUGCCUAAGAACUAAGAUUUUCUUCCGUCGCUUGGGUUGGCUGACUUUCCAUGAAGAAAAAUGAUGUUUUGAUUGACAUUUGGUUUAACUGAUGACAAAUUUCAGGCUAUAAAUAUCAGUAUUGUUUUAUUAAAUAAUAAAAUAUAAUAAUUUUACAUGUACGUUGAAAGUUAAUAACUUAAUAUUGCAGUCUUUUGAGACUGUGUUGACGUUUAUUCGGGUGCAUUCGUUUAUUAUAUAUUCCCGUUUUUCUCCCUGUGUGUUUGCUACAGUGCUCUUAAAAGAAUAACAUGUUUUUUUUCGACAAUAAAAGAAUAACAUGUUUAAAGCAUGUAAAUGCACCUCAGAAGUAGUUAAGAAAGACUUGAUAAAAAACCAGACAUUUUCUCUCUACUCAAAAAGUAGUUAAGACUGUAUGAACCAAUUAAAACGUCAGAUUCAUACUAUAACUAUGAUGAUUCAAUAAGACCUUCAAACUAAAUCCACAGAUUCCAUGAGUAAGAAACAAUGGAUCACAUUUUUUUAAGUUUAUGCUUUGAGUAAAAUAAAAGUAGAAACAUGAAUUUGAAAGAAGCAAUUUAGUUAUAAAAAAUUGUCAAGUAAUUAAUUGUUUGGCAUUUAUUUUAUGGGUCCCAACCCAUGUGAUCCGUAAAAUGAGACACCUUAUGUGAUUGGGUGCGCCAUGGUGCGCUAACCUCAUAUAAGCUUCUCUCUUCUUACGGAUAUAACUGUAUAUGGGUGGCAUUAUGUAGUGCCCCACAUGGGCUCUUUAAAAUUAUUUUAUGUGCAUUUUAAACAUUCCCUCGUUAUUGAUUUGAAACACUAAAAAUGCCUCUCUUAAAUUUUAAAAAUAUAUAAAAAAAAUUGCGUGUUUAAAGAAUGCUUGAUGUCUCUAGCCUAACAGUUAGCACACCUAUUGUAUACACUUUUACUUUUUUCUUCUCUAAACUUUCACUCCUCUUUUCUCUGAUUCUUCACACUUCACUGAUCUUUUAUCUCUAAAAAAAUUAAACUGUCUCUAGAAGCUUAUUACUAAUUUUCUGAUCUAAUUAUUUACAUAAGUAUUCUUGAUUGAUUAUCACUUCUUUAAUUUUUUGAGGGGGAUUUCUCUUGGAUGAAAGAAUUAAGGUUAUGUUCUAAGAAAAUUUUAACUCCCAUGUUAUAGUUUUGAUAAUGAGAUUAUCCUUAAAUUUUCAAUAUAUGAAAAUACUUCGAAACAACUAUUAAUUCGUUGAAUGAAACAUCCUAAUGAACUUAGAUUUUGGUACUUAUUAUUUAUUGAACUUUUUCUUUUAAAUUACAUUACUAUUUGAAGUGUGGCGGUAUAUGGUCUCUAGUCCAAAUGACGAAAUCAAAUCACCAUGUGCAUUAGUGUUUUGUUUGUGUGGUUGGAGGGGGGGGGGGGGGGGCGGUGUUUUUUAUUGGUGCAGGAAGAAAGCUCUUCAGGACUACUCGGAAAAAUAUAUAUAUAUAUAUGAGCAACACAUAGUCCAUUUCGCAUUGCAUAGAAGUAAAACCGAAGCAUUACACAAAAAGCACACGUUAUUUAUAUUUUUAGUUAUUGAUAAGAAAAUUUUUUCCCUCUUAUUAUCAUCUUAAUUAAGAAAAAUAGUAAUUCGUUUAACUGUUUGCGAAAAAUGAUGGCAAUAUACAAUAAUAUUGUGUUGAUGACCUUGAAAGCUAAUUCUUUUGAAACAGGAAAACUGGUAUCGUAUUCAAAACACAUAAAAGACGUAUCCAAGCUUUUAAUGUGAUCUAAAGAUCUCAUAGCUACAUUCGAAAUUAAUAAAUGAUCCCUAAGAGUUACGAAACUGAUAUCAAUGAAAUUACAAACUCUUAAGAGUUUAUAGAACAUUAAUUGAUCCAAAUCCAAUACAAACUGCUUACUAGUACAGCCUCAAGAGAGCCAUUUAUUUUUCAGUAGGCAAAUUAAGCAACUGCAGCAGUCACUAGCAGCUUGCCAAGAGCUAGCAUAGAUCAAUUGUUCAUCUUCAUAAGCUUUCUUUGAGAAAGUUUCAAGCUUCUUUGGAGUCAUUAUAUCGGCUGUGUUCUCGUUUUUGAGCAUCGAAUAAACUUCCAGCAUAGAAGGUCUACCGUUUGGGUUCUCCUGAACACAUAACAAAGCUAUUUGCAGACAUGUCAAUAAUUUCCAUGAGGAAUGCGCAUCAUCUAGUGAUGGAUCCAUUAACUUUAUGCCUUUCCCAUCCUUCCACAACUUGUAGGACUGAAAACAUCAAAUAUGUUAUUGAGUUACAUUCAAUUAAAUAGCACUAUAAAGUUUUGACCAAUUGUGCAUUAUAAAGGGGGUUAUACAGAAACUUACAUAGUGUACAAGGCUUAAAUUUUCAUUAUGACCAUAUUAAAUAAAAAAUCUCCUUCCAUUUAUAAUUUGCAAAAGUAAAAUCUCAAAACUGUAGACAUCAUAUUUAGUAGAGUAGAUGCCUCUUCUACAUACCCAGGAGGGAUGUAGCCAUUGUGGUACCGAUUAAUUACAAACGUCAUUGAAAUUGUUUGACCUAAAAGAUUAAGUUGAUUGGUAAAUGUUUAACAAUAGUAUUAAAGAUAAGUCGAAGAAAAUAGACAUAUAUAUACUUACUGUGUUCCAACAAUUCGAUUUGUGUUUGCUUCAAGAUCAUCUUUCACAAAAAUUCUAACGAAGUCAAAAUCUGAUAUUUUUGGUUUCAAAUCUUCAUCCAACAAAAUGUUACUAGCUUUCAAGUCUUAAUGAAUAACUAUUAAUCUAGAAUAUUCUUGAAGAUAGAAAAGCCCUUGAGUAAUUCCUUAAAUGAUAUGAAUGCAUUUUUUCCAAUCCAAAAUAAACCUUCGGAUGGGAUCUACAUCAAAUAUAAGUAUAGUUGGACGGUCUGUAGCAUUAGCAUUUAGAAAUGAGAAAUGCAAAUAAAGGAUUUCGUAAAUGAAGAAUUGCUCGCUGGAAGAAUAAGUUGAAUAAUCUGCAUUUCCUCCUCCGAUGGAAAGAAGGGUAGUGAUUGUUAGGUUCUUUGUUUUCAUAGUGUGUGUGAAGUUGAAGAAUUGUUCCUCAUCAGAAGAUGACAAAGAAAGUUUGUAGGACGUUGGAUCGACAUAAGCGAAACCACAAAUAAGGUGAGUGAAGAGAGCACAUUAUUUAUAUCUAAAAUGGGGAAGCCAGGCCUGGUUCCCAAAUACUAGCUCUGAUUAAAGUUUUUGCUUUUGCAGGAAGCGAUUCUGAAAAUAUAAAAAUCUGGAGGACCUAAGUGACAAAUUUGGAUGCCAUUUUGGAAAGCCAGCUGCCUGAAACAUGCCCAGUCUGUAUGUGUUUUUAUACACACACACAGAAAUUAUCCUAUAUUGACCGAGAUUAGUUAUGGUCCUAAAUAAUAUAUGUUUUAAGCAACCCUUAACCCAUGAGUUAAAGUUUAUAAACAGUAUCAGAGUCAGGUUAUGGACAAAUGCGCUUAUAUUACCAGACUAAAAUAUCAGCGUGCAUUUGAUGGAAUGAUAGGAAAAAUAUCCCACCUUAGUUAAGAUUAGUUACUAAGUUAAUAAUAUAAGAUUAAGGCAAUCUUCCACUCAUAUAACGCAAGAGUAUGAAUCACAAUUUAAUAAAACUAGGUCAAUUCGAUUUUUUAUAAAGAUAUAUGAGCUACAACUUGAGGUCGCUCACGAGUGGGGACGAGUUAGAUUAAGGCAAUCUUCAACUCAUAUAAUGUUGAUCAUGGACCGAAUCAACAUAGGAAACAAAAGUCGAGGAAGUUGAAUCUCCUUGCCUUCAAGUUGCAUGGAUGGGAGUCAUACAACGAAAAGGUUGUCUUCGUUCAAUGACGAUCGGCUUGAAGUUCUUAAAUUAAGCUACGGCGUUUGCCUCCACUUAGCUUGACUUCUGAAGCUGGAGACUCUUCCUUUUGUAUUGGCUUCGUUGGUACUUAAAUUACCUCGGAGUCUCGGAUGUGUUUCUGAAGCCAUGUCAUUGUCUACGAGUAGAAUUUUUUUUUUUUUUUUUUUUUUUGGGGGGAAGAAAGAGGAAGUCUAUCGGAAAAGUAGUAAAAUGAUAUUUUUUGUAAAGAUAUAGUAGGAAAAUGAUAGGGAGCAAUACUUCUUGUAGUCAUUUGAUAUUUGUCAAAUUUUAAAGUAGUGAAAUGAUAAUAACCCAAAAAAAAAAACAAAACGUUUUUCAAUCAAAAACAAAAAUAAAGAAAUAAAUAGACAAUCCCAUGUAUAAAAAGCUAACCGGGAAUGGUGAAGACGACACUGACAUCCUCCGUUUCUCUAUUAAGCUACUUCAAGUGUUUAAGGUUUUUGAUAAUUAUAGAAAUUAAGAAAUAACAUGAAGAAGAAUGAUCAAUUAGGGGAAGUGAUUGAAGUUGAUGUGGGUUUGGACGGUGGAUGAUGAAAGCUGACUUUGUUUUGUUAUGUAAAAUCAACGGUGCCCAAAAGGCUGUUCUGACGCAGAUGCUUCACUUCCUUGCAUACUGCUGUAGAAAAAAAUGGUUUUUUUCUAUCUAAAGGUUAAUAGUUUAGUUUGGUGAAAAAGAAUUUUAAGUACAGUAAAAUUUUUAUAAAUUAAUAAUUUUCUAUCAUAUAAAAUUUAUUAAUUUAAAAGAAGUAUUAAUUAAUCUAUAUUAAUAAUUUAUCAAUUUAUAAAGUGUAUAUACAAUUCGAUAAACAUACAUUUUAAUCAAUUAAAAUUCAUUGUAUUUUACCAAUCUAAUAAAUUAAAAAUGAAUUAAUCUACUAAAUAUAAAUUAAAUUAAUAAAAAAAUUUAUAAUUCUUACAAUUUCAAAAUUCAACCCUUAAACUUCUAGAAGUGAUACGCAUAGCAUUACUCAAUUUAAAUUCAACCCUUAAAAUCAUGGCAAGAGAAUAGUGAAGAAAAAAGAAAAGAAAAGGAAAAAACAAACUCACAAACACUUAGUUAUCGACCUCUAUGGCCUAUGCCACUGGCCUGUAGAACUAACUCCCUCAGAAAUGAUUUCAAGUUCCUGUAAUUUUCUGUAUAAAAUGAGAGCAUUUUCCUCUUUAAAGCAGGGGCAGUAACAGUGUCACAAUAGAAAGCAUUCUGAUGGUAAGAUUAAGUAGUAUUGUGAUUUUAAUUGGGGGGAAAAUGUCCCAUACGCUUAUUUCCUUAUGUGAUUUAGAUUCAAGUCAAGACGACCCUCCAUUUUAGUAUAAAAGUCUAUACAAAUGUACGUUUUACUCAAUGUUUACGUAGAAACAAAUGAUUUGCUGAUUUAGUACCACUCUUGUUUACUGGGUGGGAUUUGGCUCCUCCAAAUUUGUAGCCAAUAUUUUACUUUGAUGAGAAAAUCAAAUAACGUUUCAACAAAUAAUUUUUCUUUUCUACGUACUUUCUUAAAACGUAUGGAGUGAGUAAAGUACAAAUUGAUUUUUUAGCCCUUUGACUCUUCCAUAUUCAAACUCAAAUUAGUGGUCUGUUAAAUAUUGCUACUUAAAAUCAUUCAGCCAAAUAUUGUAAAAACUAUAAUUUCACAAAGUCAAAGUUUCAUUGAUUAUUGAAUUGUAGAGUGUGCUAUCAUUUCCUAGCUAAAAAUUUGUUUAGUUCUAUUAAGUUUCAAUCAUUUUUUAUUUUAUUUAAUUAAUUAAAGUGAAUUUAUUAUGUAUAAAUGCUAUUUAUGUGAAAUUUUAAAAUCCAGUGCUAAAUUGAAUUGUACUAAAUUUUUAUAAUUUUUUGUCACACCUGCAUUUCUAACAGUUUAGUAUAAAUAUUGAGAGCAAAUAGUAUAUAGGAUUAAAAGAGAUUGAUUUCGAGUGCUACAAGAUUUUUAGGAUUGCAUGCGCAAGGGUUUAAAAACAAAGUGUGCAUUUAAUUACACUAAACGUAGGUGCAUUUUUAUGAUGAAAUAAAAACUGGUUGUAUAAAUGGCUCCAUAAUUAGUGUACUUAAUAUCCAUCUAGCUAUCACUUCCGAAAAUGAUAUCAGAAGCCGAACACAUUUCCAACUGUAUUUUAGAUAAUAGUUCAAUCCCAAUUUCGUCAACUUGUUUUGAGAAAGCAGGCUUCUUGGGAGAAUUUAUAUUUCGUCAACUUGUUUCGUCAAUUUGUGCAUAUAAAUGUCUAUCAUUUGGAUUCUCCUGGACACACAACAAAGCUAUAUCCAGACGUCUCAUUAAUUUACAAGUGAAAUUUGUAUAAUCUCGUGAUGAAUCCACAAACUCCAUAUAUAUUUUUUUUUUUACCACGAGGUAUCAUGGGGAGGGCCCCAACUGUGGGAGGCACCUUUAAGUCCGUACCACAACUCAGACUAGAAGUCCCCGCUCGAACCGAGAGGCACAGGUUCUCCCAACAAAGGCGACUUCCCUACGACUUGAACUGGGGAGCAAACCCAGUCAAGCCAUUUAAGGGGACUCCAUUGCCAGUGGAGCCAACACUUUGUUGGUUAAACUGGAUAUUUUAUCUUGCUACAAACUCCAUAUUUUCACAACUCAUAUGCCUGAAAUUAUCAAGUAUUAUCUUGCUACAUAUUUUAUACUACUUAGUUAAGUGCAUAUAUAUAUAUAUAUAGACACAUACACACACACACACUAAAGGUUACUAUAGCCAAAGAAAUUUACAUGCUCUAGAAGACUUAAAUUUCCAUCGAUGCCACAUAGGCACAUAACAUAAAAAGACUUUUCCCAGUUAUCAUUCGUAAAAGUAAGACUUCAAAACUAAAAAUGUUUGAUUCGGUAGAGUAAACAUCUCUAUGAGUGUAUUUAGGAGGAAUAUAACCUCUACAUUUGAAAAUAACCAACACUCACUACUACAAAAAUGACUUUUACUGACACUUUGUUUCUGACACUUUGAAAAAAGUGUCAGUAAUUACCUAACUAUGCACAAUUUUCCGCUUUUAACAAAUAAAUGUCACAAAUUAUUAAUACUAAUGUAUCAGUAAAUUAAAUAUUAGAGAUCACUGAUACUUCAGCAUCAGAGAUCUAAAAAGAAUCAUUAAAAUUUGUUUUGAUUUUAACUCGAACCUGGGAUUUCUAAAACUCAAAACUUUUACGUUUAGAUUGCAAACCACUGGACCCCAUAAAAUUGAGUUGGAAUUACAAUGUUAUAUAAAAUAUUAACAUAUAAAAAACCAAACCCUAAUUCCCCUUUUCCAUUGUGCAAUAGAGCCCAUGCCGCAGCUGCUGCGUAAUUUCCUUGCCUUUCUUGACUUCUUCUUCUCUAUCGUGAAAGAUGGAGAAUGACCAGGCCCAAACGCCCACGCCCACAGCCGCGCCCAACCCCCACGGCUGCGCCCACCCCCACGCCGUUGCCACUAUCACUUCCGUUCAAGUGGUUCGACACUGCAGGUACUAAAUUAAGAAUUUAAAACAUGUAAAACGAAAGUAAAACAUAUCCCAAACUUAGCAAUUGUCCCCAUCUCCCUGUCUUUUAUACACACAAAUCUCUAACCCAAACUCAAACCCAAAACUGUCUCUUGCCUUUCUCUUUCUCUUUCCUUUUUCUCUUCUCGAUCUCUUCCUUUUUUUUCUGUCCAUUCACAAACUCGUUCAUUUAACUUAAAUAGAUAAUAUAAAGCUAAAACCCUAAGUGAGGCUUUUAUUCCCUUUUUCCUUUUUUUUCCCAAAUUGAAAAACGGACCAAAACCGUAAUCGAGGCUUCUUUUAUCAAUUUUUUUUCUUUUUAUGGUCAAAUUUCACUUUUUUUUUGUUCAAUAUUCAAAACCCAUUUGCUUGAAUUUGAAUAAAAUUAUUGAGAAAUUAGUUAAUUUUCUUGCUAUGGAAGGGAUACCACACCUUAUACGUAGACCUGUGAAGGAGAUUUUCAAUGACUUUAAGGGCAAACAGGUUGCCUUGAUUAAGGCUUUAACUGCUGGUAAUGGCUUAAUAUUUUAUUUUCUUUGUCAAAUUAAUUAAUAAUUUUUUUUUAUUUUAGCUUAUCAUUAUUAGGGUUUUUUGUUAAUUUUAAUUUUCUGGGUUGUUGCAGAUGUUGAGAAAUUCUGCCAGUGGUGCAGUCUUGGUGGGAUUUCUUUUCCAUAUCUAUUUUUUGUUUAUUUAAUUGUAAUUUGAAUUUUUUUCUUUUUUUUCCUAUAUUUCUAUAUUAUAUAGAUUGAAUGGCUGUGUAUUUCAUAAUUAUUAAGUGUUAUUUAUUGCUCUGUUUCAUGUAAAGAUAGGCAAAUUAUGUUAUAGAAACCAACAUGUUUAUUUUUUUAUUUUUUUUAGUUGGAAGAUUUUUAAUAGAGACAAUGACUAUGAUAUGAAUUAACUAAGUUCAUGAUUUGUCUUUAAUUCAAGAAGAAAAUGCUUGUUUUUAGGUAGUUUUGCUUGUUGUAGCACUUGAAGACUUACAUUUUCUUUGUUCAUUUGCACGGUUAGUUUCGCUCUUAUUCAGAAAUUUCUGUGUUUCCUCACUUGCAUGGUCAUUAAUUCAUUCCAUGAUUUUUCUUCUGUAAACACACUUUUAUUUUCCUUUCACUAGUUUGAAGGAAUUUAUUUUUUUAAAAUAAAAAAUUCUAAAGAUUGAAAUGAAUUGAAAUUGUUGCUAUAAUGUACUUUCUUUGCUGCUGAAGUUCAAGGAAUGUCUAUUUAAAUGAACUAGAACUUGAAAAAUCUUGAAGUGUUGUUGUACCCAUAGACUUCAUUUUUUUUCCUGCACAUUACACUUAUUUUGUUCAUCUUCUUACCUUCAAUUUGUCGUAGAGGUUAACAAUGAUUGACGAGAAAUGGAGGUUUGCAUUUACUGCGGCUGAAUCUCAUGAACAAGAAGUUGGCAAACUGAGGUCUGUAUUUUUUCCUCAAAUUCAUAGUUGAAUUCAUAGUAAGCUCAAAGCAAUUGAUUGAGGGAGAAAAUAAAUUGAGUUUUAUUUAUUAGUAUAAUUUUUGUUAUUUAGUGCUUUACACUCUUCAUGACAACUUCUGCGAUCUUGUCCUAUUACCUUAAGGUACUACUGGAUAUUUGAGAAAAAAUUAAAAAUUAUUAAGAUUAUCUUUCUUUGAUGAUAGAAUUACAAUAUGUCUUCUCACUUAUUAUAGUUCAUCCAAUUUUAUUUUUGUUGCACAGUCUGUGGAAAUCAGAGUACCACAUUUAAGAGUUUUUAUAAAAUGUCUCCUUUACCUUUCCUAUUAUUUAAACUAAUUUCAUGUGUAUUUCUUUAGUUAAUGAUUGAUUUUCAAGUAGUUGAAGGAAAGUAACUUGUAGAACCUCCUUCUAAAAUUGGUCUGGAACCUUUGUGUGCAAUGGUUAGUGAAAUCAUAAUCCGUGGCUUGUGUUAAUAUGCAUCGAUUGUGUGAAAACUAUUGUUUACUAUUUUCUGUGGCUGGUUAUUAACAUGAUUCACAGAUAAACAACAAUAGACUCAUACCCAUAUGCUUGCUUGUUUUCAACAAGCAUUUUUUUUUUGUAGGUUUUUUUUUUGUGCGUCUCUCUUUGAAGAAUAAUAUGAUUAUCUUACACGAAAUGGGGAAAUUCCAUUAUCUUGCUGCAAGUUUUUUCCUAGUUCUAUAGUUCUACCGUUUUGUAUCACCUUGGAUGACAUGUCGAGUGAAUCCUGGAACAUCAUUUUAUCUUGUUUGUACCUAUAAUACGUUGUGUUCAAUGUUCUUGAAAUUUUUGGGCAUGGCUGCAAACAAAUUUAGCAGUUUUUAAUAGCCAACUAUAGAGUCAAUUUAAAAUUUGUCUAGGUGGUGAGUUUCUAUGGUUUUGUAAUUGGGGUGAAAGGUAGCAAAUACUAAUCUUGUCUAAAGAGCAUUUGUGUAAGAUUACUUGUGAGUAUAGUGGGGCAGCAUAUAUUAGUAUUUUUAUGAAAUAAGCAGAAAAAGGGAUCCCUUUCUAUUGUCAGCAAUAAAAAGAAUUUUCAAAAAUGUAAACACCAAGCGUUCUAGUUGUAUUGUUAUUUGCAAAGAUCUUUUCAAUGUAUUUGUAGAUCCCAACAUACCUUGAUGCAUGAUCAAUUAGUCUGAAGAAUGUUGAGGAUUAUGUCAUUUUGAGCUGUUUAUCAGGUAGUUUGAGGUUAGAUUUGUUUUUUGGAGUAUUAGCUUGGAAUCUGAGUGCUUGCCUAAUUUGGAGAUUGGUGUGUGAUACUUCAAUAGCCUUUUUUUGUGGACUCCCUUUUGACAUUUUGUAAUUAUUGUUCUUAUUAAUACUAAUUUCUCUGUUUCCUAUAAAAAAUAAAUAAAUAAUGAAGGAUAGGUUUUUAUAUGGUAAGGAAUGAAUAAAUAUUAUAAGCAUUUAUUGGAAAAUAAAACUAUGCAGCUUAUUUAGUUGUUUUCCUAUUUAGUGAUAAAUUAAAAUUUUUGGCUUAAUUAUAUUCGGAUAUAUAAACACCAAGUUUUCAGUGUUAAGAUGGAAAACCAACGUCUUUAAAAUUUAUGAAUUGUUAAUACUGAAUCUUUUUUCAGUUUCAGUUAAAAAACAAAAAGGCCCUUCUUUUUUCUAUCUUCAAAUUUUGUGUGAUAGAAGUAUACUGUUGGGCCUUUCUUAUCAACUUUAGCUUUUGGGAUUAUUGUUGGUUUAACUUUAGAAUUAUUUGACCCAGAGAUUUUAUGUUCCAUUAAAUAAUAACACUCAAUACACUGGAUUUAGUUCAUGUUUAUUAAAUUUGGAUUUUUAUGUGAGACGGUACAAGUAUUGGGGAUUAGUGGUCUCUCAACAUUAUGAUCGAAAACCAGCCCUCACUGCCAAUUUGUAUUUUAAGCCCAAUAUUCAGUCCUUGAUCACUAUCAAACUUCCAUAAUCAUUUCUUCUUCAUAUUCUUAUAAAUCAGCCUCAAACUCUAAAGAAAAACCUAAGCCAUUCUCUGUAAGGGGUAAGCGUCUGUUCUUGUUCGGAUGAAGGUGCCAAGUUUUAUUUUGCUCUUUAACGUUAACAAGUCAAUUCCCCAUGAUGUGUUAGGUGAUUUGUUUGUUUCAUGCUGUUUAUUUCCUCGUCUUUUUUUUCUUCUAUCUACUGUUCCUUUAUGAAUUUGCCUCUAGGCAUUUUUGCAGUUGCUUACUAUGAAAUACAAUGGGCUUAUGCUAUAUUUUGUAAAAAUAACUAUGUAAUUCAAUCUCCAAAUUAGUUAAUCUUCUUAGUUGGCUUUGUCUUUGACUGUUUUUUAUAUCAAUUAAUUUGUUUCGUUGUGUACAGGUUAAUUUCUAUUGUUGGAGCCAUGAGUCUGCUGAACACAUUUUUCCUAACAGAGGUUUGGGAUAUGGACUUGCCCAAUUUUUGUCUGUUUUGUUUCUAGGUUAUUAUGUAAAAAUUUUAUAAUGGUUUGCUUUGCUUUGGGUUAUGAUGUAAAAACUUUGUAGUGGUUUGCCUCAAAUGUUUCUGUUAUUAUGUCUUUGGUCUUAUCCUAAGAUACGCUAUAUUCUUAUUCCUCAAUUUUUACCCCUGGAUUGUUUAAUGAGUUUCUAAUUUUGGAUGUAUACUAAUAAAUCUCCAUUUAUCUUUCUUAAUCCUUAGGAUUUUUUUUUUAUUUUUUUUAUUCUUCUUAAGUUGAGUUGUGUAUAGAUCUGUAGGAAAAUCCACUCAAAUUCAAUUCUUAGCAGAUAAAUAUUCCUACCUAUUACAAUUAGCUUGCACUAAGAGAGCUAUGUAUUGUUUUUGCCCCAUUCUUUGUUAGUCUCUUUGAACACUGAAAUUGGCCUGAUUGUUUUUUCUCCCAAAAAUUCAAGAAUUAUUUUUUGUGGUAUACUAAUUGAUUUUAUGUACUUGUAGGUGGGAAAAGAAAAAUGAAGCCGCUUGUGGAUGUUCAAUGACAUUAUGUGCUUCUUUUUGUUGGUUAAUAUUUGUUGAAUCUUAACAUAGUACUUGGUUGUUAAGAGCUUGUCCAAGACUUAAUUUAGUAUUUAUAUUUUUCUUUUCCAAACAAUGAUGUAGUUGAAUGAUAUGAAUUUGAGUGAUGUAUUUGAGAUGUCUCUUAUGCAAUUGUGUUGCGAGAUUUUGUAUAUUUAAUAUAUUUUGAGUUUUCUUUCAGUUGUAAAACAAAUAGGAAAAUAUAAUUAAAAUCAAAGUAUACUAUUAACCAAAAGAAUCAUAACAUCACUAAAUACUGACACUAAAUGUUUAAAAUAACAGUAAUAAUUUUUUAUGUUAUUGAGUCAGUGUGCUCUUGAUACUGUAGUCUCAUAAAUUACUGACAUAUAAAUAGUAUCAUUAAAUACUAACGCUAUCGUGUCAUUAUUUUAGUGAUACCAUAAUGACAUGAAUUACUGACACAAAAAUCGCUGACACUAAAAAUUAGUGUCAGUGUGUUCUGUCUGGAGAAUUAUUGACACAAUUAAUAAGUGUCAGGAAAAGUAAUUACUGACACUAAUUUAGCGUCAGUAAAGCCCAUUUUUCUAGUAGUGACUAUUUCAGUAUGUCUCUCUCUCUCUCUCUCUCUCUCUCUCUCUCUCUCUCUCUCUCUCUCUCUCUCUCUCUCUCUCUAUAUAUAUAUAUAUAUAUAUAUAUAUAUAUAUAUAUAUAUAUAUAUAUAUAUAUAUAUAUAUAAUCAGCUUCAGGUCUGGAAUUUAAAUUUGUAAAGAGUCUACAAUAUCGUAAAUUGCAUUCAUCACUGUUUUACAAUGGUCUAAAUUUUAUUAUAAAUGACUGUCAAAAAAUUAAUACAUGGUUAUCAUUUAUGAUUAUAAUUAGAACAUUAAAAUUCAAGUCGACUCAUUUGUCUUUACAUUGAUGUAUUCUUUGCGAUUAUACUUAGAAUGUUAAACAAUUAAGUUGAAACGACCCGCCCCAAAUCUCCAGGACAAGUCUAUCUAAUCUCGCCUAACCGAAUUAAUAAUAGUUCUAAUAUCUAAGAAUUCUACCAAAACUUCGGCAGAGUCUCUUAUAUAAUUAUUACAUCCCCAAACUUGUAAUUUAUAAAAUUAACACUCCAAAAAAUAAUACAAUAUUUAAUCAACCUCUACAACCAACUUCCUCAAUUUAAACACCAGUAUCCUUCAAACAUAUAAUGUCAAGAAUACAAUAAUUUAUCCUUAAUCGCAAAUAAGUAAUAAAUUAUACAAUUCAAAAUAUCCCAACAAAGCAUCUAUGAUUUUUAACACCAUCAUGUGGCUAUAGUUUCAAAUCUAACUAUCGUUGUUGGAUCGACUGAUGUACCUGCAAAUCUCCUAGGGAGGGGGGGAAAUAUAAUAAAAAUAUGGUGAGUAUAAAACUCAGUGAGCUCAGUGAGUGGUGGGGGUGGGCAAAAUCGGGUUCGGGUCAACGCGAUCGGGUUUCGGGUUGUUCGGGUUAGACAAGAACCAAUUCGAACAUAACCCGAAUUAUUGACCCAACCCGAACCGACCCGAACUGGAUCGGGUUGGAUUUAAAACGGGUUGGAUUGAGUUCGGGUCAAUUCGGGUUAGUUCGGGUCAGCGUGUGUGUGUGCUGUGCAGCUCGUGUGUGUUCUGUUCUGUUCUGUCAUUCUGCAUUUCUGUGUGCGUGCUGUGCAAGUGUGCAGCUUGUGACUUGUGUUGUGUGUGUGCAACAGCGUAUGUGUGUGUGGGUGCGGCUGUGUGCUUUGCAGCUUCUAACAAGUUGUGUGUGUGUGUUGUGCAGCAGCCAAGCAGCGUGUGUGUGUGUGUGUGUACAGUGUUAGCUUAGCUUAGGUUUUUUUUUUUUUUUUGAGAACCCGAUCGGGUAUUCGGAUCGGGUCGGGUUUGACCCAAACCGAUCACAACCCGAUCGGGUUUGUAAAUUUCAAACCGCUCGGGUUUCGAUCCCGACCCGAUCCGACCCGAACCCGAAAUUUAUCGGGUCGGGUCGGGUCGGAUCGGGUAAAAUGCCCACCCCUAGUGAGUGGAUAGUAGUUUAGGAAAAAUAAUUUAUUUAAAAUGAUUUAAUCUUUUCUAAAUCAAUUUCAUCAAAAUAUCAUAAGAACUUACAUAAACUUAUUUAAUUCAAAUCAUGCACUGAAAUAACAAUAUUACAUAAAUCUGCAUAAAAUCAAUGAAAUCAUAAUACUUAUUGUUAGCCUAUAUGGCUAUAAAUAUUGAUUUUGAUGAUAACAAACCACAUGUGUUAGUUAAACAAAGAUUUAUAAAUUGUGCUUUUAUAAUAAGAAAAUGAUUUUAUGGAAUUAAAGUGUUUUGGACCAAAAUAAAAGUAUUUUAUAAUCUUUGAUAUUGUUUUGAAUUUCGGAUUUGGACCUAUUUAAAUAUUUUUGGGCCAUUCUAUAAUUUCACAUAGUUUGGGCGAUAUUCUAAUUUCAAAAAUUUUUGGGAUUGACAAAGUAUUAUUUAGAAAUUCUAAAAUUGGACCUAUUUGAACACUUUCAUAACAUUUUAGGCCAUAAUAUAAUUUUAUAAAGUUUUGGGGUCGAAUUAUAAUUUUGGAAAACAUUUCACUGUAGCAAGCAGAUAUCUGGAUCCUAACAAAUGGUAGACCGGAUUUGGGCAGAAAGCUUCUGGAACUUAAACGGCUAUCCGGAUUUCACAAGCGGUAUACCAGAUGUUCAAAAAUUUAAAUUUUGGCUAUAACGGUAACAUUACGCGGCUAACCGGAUGUCCAUAAAUGGUAAGUUAGUUAUCACCUAAAUGUGCAUAACGGCUAGUUUUUGAGUUCAAACUAUAUAAACCCAAAUCCAAUUCAUUUUCAAGCUCUUUUGCAAACAAAAUCAAAAAGCACACAACAUUCAUUGAGCUCUCAUUUCGCAAAUCAUAAAACCUUGAAUCAUAUUUUGUUCUUCAAUUUGUAUAUCUACUCUUUAAGAGAGUUUUUAUUGUAAUCUUCAAUUCCUCAUCUUAAUUGUGAGUGUUUAAGUGUGUGAGACACUUGAGUGAAGAGAUUGAGAGAUAAUCUCUUUGUUGUAAAGGUUCAUUGACACCUUAAAGUCAAUUGUAACCAUUUGAAGCCUUAGAAGGCUUGCAUAGUGAAAUCAUCAAGCUUGGAUUGCUUGGAGGCGUGGACGUAGCCGGGGAUUGUCGAACCACGUAAAAAUUCGUGUGUUUGUUUCUUUUCUCCCUUACUCAUUUGUUAUUGUACUUUUAUUGAACUUAUUGCUUUCGAAUUUAUUAAGGCGUUAGAUUGGAUUGUUGUGUGGUUUUGUUAGGAUAAUUUUUAAAAAUACCAAUUCACCCCCCUCUUGGGUUGCACACUUGUAUUUCACCUAUAAUAUCAAAUACUGAAUACCAAAAACUAUCACCAAACAAGUACCCGGGGGAAUAAUCUCAUCAUAUUCGGACCUCGACGGACGGGCAAUCAGGGAACCAUCAUACCCCGGAGCUACAACGGAUAGACGGGGAAAUGUCAUCUCAUAUCUCAUGUAUCUCAACAUCUGUAUCUUUGUAAUCAUCAUACUGCAUGCAUAAGCCUCCAAAAGGAAAAAGCGCCCAAACACACAGCCAAAAGCCUCUAUGUGUGUUCAGACGGGCCUCAAAGACCUCUCAUCUCAUAUCAUCUGUAUCAUUGUGUUCAUCUUAUAUUAUCUGUAUCUCUGUGUCUUAAGGGGAAUGAUAUUGUCCAAUGAUUUUCCAAACAACCUUUUAUAAACAUGUACAUAAACAUAUAAUCACAUCUGAAAUCUCAUUUCCUUUUAUUCAACAUAUCUCAAAUCCACUCAAUUCUAAUAUCAUGCAUUUACUCAAAAAAAAAAUGAUAAUAGAAUCAUUAAUCAAACUCAUUUUCAAUACUAAUAAAUAUCAGCACGUAAAAUAAAAAUCAAUUUUCUAGAAAAUCAUUAAAUCGAAGCAUCAAAUACUUAUCAUCAAAACAUGUUGUACUGUAUAGUAAAAUCAUAGUAUACUAUGAAAAUAGGUUUUGUAUAUUCCACUCACAGUGACAAUGUCCAGACUCGGGAUCACCAACGUCCGCAGGUUAAUUCUCGCUCGCGGGUCCUCCUAAUUACAUAAACGACAUAAUUAUUAUCCAUAUCAUGAAAUACGACUAACAGUACGAAAUAAAGCUCAAAACCAAACUCCCGGAUACAUAAAAUUUCAAAAUUACCCUUAUGUCCAAAAAUUACCCAAAUGCCCCUGACACCGAAAUUUACCAAAUUACCAUCAGAAUCAUAAUUUAUCGAAUCAUCCUCAAUAUCUUAAAUUACCAAAUUGUCCUUAAUUCGGAUAACAAAAUUAAUCACAAGUUUUGAAUUUACAAAAUUACCUUCGAAGUACAAAAUUACCAAAAUGUCCUUAAUAACUUAAAUUACCGAAUUACCCUCGAAAUCUCAAAUUACUUCUCUGUCCUAAUCACAAAUUACCAAAUUAUCCACCAUUUUCAUAAAUUACAAAUUUACCCCAAAGUUUUAUGAAAUUACCGAAUUACCCUUGCCGGUCAACGGUGACCUGACUUCAGUCAAUGAUGACGGGAAGCUCAGGUCUAAUAGUUCAGACCUCGGUGAAUCCAACGAUGCUGGCGGUGACCUCCCACGCGCGGCGAUGGUGGCAGAUCGAAGCUCCAAAAUUCGUGAGUUUCCCGGUGUUCGUUCGCGGCCAAGACAGCAUCCCCGGUGAUCGUGGUCAGUUGGAAAGUGAUAAGUGUGAGUUGAGAAACAAGAUCCAGGCAGUGGCGUGGCUAAAAAUCCGACGGGAUCGACGGCGACAGAAACGGGUUGAGUCGCGGCUUUUCGAGCUUCAAACGGCGGCGUUUCGGUCGGCUUUUCUUUGAUUUGUUAUUUUGAGUUGUAUGAAAUAUAGCUUUACUUAUGUUUUUUUUUAUCAUUAAUAGGAAUUUUCUUGUUAAAACUAUAUGAAUUGAUUGAAACUUCAAAUUCAUACUACAACCAUGAUGAUUUAAUAAAACAUUCAAACUAAAUCCACAUAUUCCAUGAGUAAGAACCCUGAGAGCACAUUUAUUCAAGUUUAUGCUUUAAGUAAAAUAAAAGUAGAAAUGAGAAUUUUAAAGAAGAAAUUUAGUUAUAAAUAAUUGUCAAAUAAUUAAUUGUUCAGCAUUUAUUUUAUAGGUCCCACUGUUGGGACUCCAUGUGAUCUGCUAACUGGCAGGCCUUUUGUGGUUAGGCGAACCACAGUAUGCCUGCCCCAUAUAAGUUCCUCUCUUCUCAUAGAUAUAACUAGUGCUAUGUCAUGUCCAACAAGGGCUCUUCGAAACUUUUUAUGUGAAUUUUAAACAUUACCCCAUUACGCUUUUGAAACACCAAAACUACCUCAAAUUUUAAAAAUAUAAAAAAAAAUACAUAUUAAAAGAAUGUUUUAUGUCUUUAGCUUAACAGUUAGCACACGUAUUGUACUCUUGACAUUUUUCUUCUGUAAAUCUUCACUUCUUUUUUCUUUGAUUCUUCACACUCCACUGCUCUUUUAUCUCUAAAAAAUUAAAUUGUCCGUAGAAGCUUACUAUUUAAUUUACUGAUCUAAUUAUUUAGCUCUAAAUAUUUAGAUACGUUUUCUUAAUUAAUUAUCUCUUCUUUAAUUUUUUUGGUAAUUUCUCUUAGAUGAAAGAAUUAAGGUUAUGUCCUAGGAAAAUAUUAACUCUCAUAUUAUAGUGUUGAUAAUGAGGUUAUCCUUGAAUUUUUAACACAUGAAAACACAUCGAGGUAACUAUAAAUUCAUUGAAGGAAAUAUUUUAAUAAAUUUAGAUUUUGGUACAUAUUAUUUGUUGAAUUUUUUUUCUUUCCAAAUUGAACGUAGCCCUUAUGAUAUUCAGUUCGUGAUGGUGCCACUAAAUGUAAAGUGUCGAACUAGAUCAUAUUUCUCCCUUAUGCAAACUCCAUCGUUUAUUUAUAUUUCAAUUUUGUGGCCUAUUGUCGAGUUUUCUAGUUUCACAGAGGGCAUCUUGGAUUUCUCUACGUGGUCCAUAGUCUCUAGUCCAAAUGAAGAAAUCGAAUUCACCAUGUACAUUAGUGUUUUUUUUCUUUUUUCUUUUUGGGCGGGGGGGGAAUUUUUUUAUUGGCACAGGAAGAAAGCUCUUCGGCACUACUCGGAAGAAGAAUAUGAGCAACACAUGGUCCAAUUCGCAUUGUAUGGAAGUAAAACCGAAGCAUUAGACCAAAAGCAAACCUUAUUCAUAUUUUUAGUUACUGAUAACAAUUUCUUUCCCCUCUUAUUAUCAUCUUAAUUAAGAAAUAUAGUAAUUCGUUAACUUUUUGGGAAAUUAAAAAGGAUGGCAAUAUACAAUAUUCUUGUGUUGAUGACCUUAAAAGCUAAUUCCCUUGAAACAGGAAAACUGGUAUCGUUUUUCAAAGCACAUAAAUGAUAUAUCCCAGCUUUCAAUGUGAUCGAAAGAUUUCAUAGCCACACUCGAAAUUAAUAAAUGAUCCCUAAGAAUUCGUUAACUUCAAGAGUUUAUAGAACAUUAAUUGAUCCAAAUCCAAUACAAACUGCUUACUAGUACAGCUGCAAGAGAGCCAUUUUUUUUCAGUAGGCAUAUUAAACAACUGCAGCAGUCACUAGAAAGCUAGUAUAGACCAAUUGUUCAUCUACCAACCAAUUGUGAAAUUGUUACAUCAUUACUUGAACAUAUUUCCCAUCCAAUCGUGGCUUUAUUUUGUUCGUCUUCAUAAGCUUUGUUUAAGAAAUCGGAGUCCAUUCGAUGAGUCUAUCAGCAUUCUUUAACUAAUUAUUAGAUUAAAUGUAUAAAUUUAAAACUAGUAAAAGUUUAGACUAUGAAAGAACCUUGAUUCAUUCAAGAAAUAAUUAAAAUUUUAAUCCUUUUCAAACUGGUUAAUAUUAACCUUAUCAUUAUGCGAAAACACAAUUUAAAAGAAAAAUAAAAUAAAAUAAAAAUCUCACAAAGUUGGUGUGUGGAAUAGUCAAUACGUUGUCCUUGAUUUUUUAUUUUUUAUUUUUUACAAACCCUUAAAGAGUCUAUAGAUGUAGUUAGUGAUAUUACAUUACAUUAAUUGAUCCAAAUCCAAUACAAACUGCUUACCAGUACAGCCUCAAGAGAGUCAUUUAUUAUUCAAUUGGCAAAUUAAACAACUGCAGUAGUCACUAGCAGCUUGCCAAGAGCUAUAGCGUAGAUCAAUUGUUCAUCUACCAACCAAUUGUGAAAUUGUUACAUCAUUACUUGAACAAAUUUCCAAUCCAAUCGUGGCUUUCCUUUGUUCAUCUUCGUAAGCUUGCUUUGAGAAAGUUGCAGGCUUCUUUGGAGUCAUUAUAUCAGCCGUGCUCUCAUUUUCGAGCAUCGAAGAAACUUCCAGCAUAGAAGGUCUAUCGUCUGGGUUCUCCUGAACACACAACAGAGCUAUUUGCAGACAUGUUAGCAAUUUCCACGAGGAAUGCGUAUCAUCUAGUGAUGUAUCCAUUAACCCCAUGCCUUUCCCAUCUUUCCACAGCUCAUAAGCCUGUAAAUAUCGAAUAUGUUAUUGAGUUACAUUCAAUUAAUUAGCACUAUAAAGUUUUGAUCCAGUGUGCAUUAUAAAGGGGGUUAUGAAGAAACUUACAUACUGUACAAGGCUUAAAUUUUCAUUCUGGCCAGAUUGAACGAACAAUCUUCUUCCACUUAUAAUUUGCAAAAGUAAAACCCCAAAACUGUAGACAUCAGAUUUGGUGGAGUAGAUGCCUCUCGUCACAUACUCAGGAGGGAUAUAGCCACUGUUGUACCAAGUACUUACAAAUAUCAGUUAAAUUGUUUGACCUAAAAGGUUAAGCUGAUUGGUAAAGGCUCAACAAUAGUAUUAAAGACAAGUCGAAAAAUAGACGUAUAUACACUUACUGUGUUCCAACAAUUCGACUGGUGUUUGCUUCAAGGUCGUCUUUCACAAAAAUUCUAGCUAAGCCAAAAUCUGAUAUUUUAGGCUUCAUAUUUUCAUCCAAUAAAACAUUACUAGCUUUCAAGUCUCGAUGAAUAAUUGUUAAUCUAGAAUAUUCUUGAAGAUAAAGAAGCCCUUGAGUUAUUCCUUGAAUGAUAUGAAUGCGUUUUUUCCAAUCCAAAAUAAACCUUCGGAUGGGAUCUACAUCAAAUAUAAGUAUAGUUGGACGGUCAGUAGCACUAGCAUUUGGAGAUGAGAAAGCAAAUGGAGGCACAUAAAUUAAGAAUUAAGCAGAAGCACAUACCAAAAAGGAAAUAGUCUAAGCUUUGUUUUGGCAUGUACUCGUAGAUCAGCAUUUGUUCUUCUCUGUCAAUGCAAAAACCUAAAACCUUAAUAAGAUUUACAUGUUGGAGUUUUGCAGUAAGCAUAACCUCAUUCUUGAACUCCUCAAAUCCUUGUUUGGAUGUCUUUGAGAGUUUCUUCACUGCUAUUACCUGUCCAUCAGGUAAUACACCCUGCAAACACCCCCAAAACAUUAAAAAGGAAAAAAAAAUGCAAUGUUCAUAUACAUAUGUGUGUGUGUGUAUUUCGCUAAUUAAUUAAUAAGAUGAGAGAUAGCCAAGCUAUCGAUAUAUAACCUUGUAAACAGGGCCAUAUCCACCCUCCCCGAGCUUAUUUUCAAUUGAAAAUCUAUCCGUGGCCACCUCAAUAUCAGCCAAGCUAUAUUCUCUAAGAUCAGGAUCAUUGCUGUUAAAAUCUCCAGCAUGUGCUUGACUGUUUGCUCCGUCCUUUGAUGACUUGGCUGAGUCAAUUACUAUUCCAAUUAAUAUCAACCAAGGAAAAAAAAGAAAAAGAAAAAGAAAAAAGCUAAUUUAAGUAAAUUGCCCACUUCUUCAGCUGUGCUAAAUAGAAUAGAAGUAAAAAUAAUCCUAAACCCCUGUAGAAGAAGUUACCUUUUAAUUUGAGGUUUUUCAUCCAGCAGUAGUAAUACAGCCAAAAACCUAGUAGAAGAAUACAAGCUGCAGUGGUAGUCAAAACAACUACCCAUAACAGUCGCUUAUUUUGACCACUCUUGUCAUCCUCUUCAGCUGAAAAGUCAAUCACUUUGCGUUGGUUAACCAUUGAUGCUGAAAUAAAGAUCUUAAUUCAAGUCAUUAUCCAGAAAAGUGAUCAACGGAUUGCAGUGAGUGCGGAAUUCCAUUUGCUUACCUGCAGCUUGAGAAAGCAUCCAAUCAUGAUCAUAGGAAACUAGCCACACAUGGUAUCCGCGUAGCUUCUUCUCCUUGGCAUAUGCAACCUUCACUCUAAUGGCCUCCACAUCAUCAAAACCAAACCAAAUCUUCCCAAUCGAGCAGUAGUUCACCACAUAAGUUGAAUUGUAAAUAACUUGGACAUUAGGACCAUAUCUCUUGAUGUGAUUCUUGAUUUCCCUAUAACUCACAAGACCAUCUUCACUCAAAGCUGGUCCCGUUGCUGCUGCACCAAUACCAUUGUCCUCAGGUUUCACAAGCGUCCAUGCAUAGCCAUAGAAAGGCAAACAUAAAACCAAUUUAUCAGCCGAUAACCCUUCGUCAAUCCAUUCCGUGAUUCCGUAUUCAGUAUUAGAGACACUAUUUGGAUCAUACAGAGCCGCAUGAGCACCAGUAAAAUUUGUCCACGUAGGGACUGAGUAAUCAGUAGUGAAAACAUGGACCCAAUUCAAGUAUUGUCUUAUCGAGUCGACUGGAUAAGCUGCUGCUGGUGAGUAUGGUGAAUAUGCAACCGUUGCCGUCAAAAUCAACUGUGAUUGGCUCGAGUUAUUUCUUGCUUCUAAAGCUACGGCAGCUCGCCAUUCUUUAAAGAGAAUGCCAAUAUUGUACUUAUCCCAGCUUGUGUUUGCAAAAUACCAAGACAGAUCUAAGCCUUGAAAGCCAUAGAGCCUUGCUAUUUUUAUUGAGGAGUCAAUAAAGGAUUUCCUGGAAGAAGGAUUGCCCGCCAUGGAAGAAUAAGUUGAAUAGUUUGGAUAAUUUCCUGCUCCGAUGGAAAGAAGUGUAGUGAUUGAUGGGUUCUUUAUUUUGACUGUGUCUGUGAAGUUGGAGAAUUGUUUUUCAUCCGAAGGUAAUAAAGAAAGCUCAUAGGAAGUUGAGUUGACACCAGCAAAACCACACAUCAGGUGAGUGAAGAGAGCAGAAUUUACAUCUGAAACUGGGAACCCAUCGCGUGAAUCCCAGUAACCAGCUCUGAUUAAAGUUUGUGCUCUUGCAGGAAGCGAUUCUGAAAAUAUAAAAAUGUGGAGGACAAGAAUGAUAAUUUUGGAUGCCAUUGUGGGAACCUGGCUGCUUGAGGCAUACCUAGUAUGUGAUUAUAUAUUUGUACACACACACACAAAAUGUAAUGGAGAAAUUAUCCUAUACCGAUUGAGAUUAGUUAUUGCACUAAUAAUGCAAACUUGAGUCAACUUUCAACUUAUGAGCUUAGUCCAUAAGUUUUUAUACGAUAUCAAAUUCAAGUUAUGAAUGAGGGACCCUAUAAUACCUUCCAACCUAACUUAAUAAUUAAUCUUAGCCAAUGUGACAUACUUGUUCUAUCACUUUAUCACGUCCAAGUCGAUCUUUUAGCUUUGUCUCUUUUUCAUGAUAAUAAGUGAUAAGAUUGAAGUUCUUAAAUUAAGCUAUGACUUUUUACCUCCGCUUAGCUUGACUUCUGAAGUUGGAGACUCGUUCUUUUGUAUUGUCUUUGUUGGUAUUUAAAUGAACUCGGAGUCCUCGACGAGUUUCUGAAGCGAAGUCAUUAUUCCUCUAUGACUCCAUCCAUGCAAUUGGAAGGCAAAAUCUUGUGAAAAUAUUUUCUAAGUUGAUUCAGUCCAUGAUCAACGUGCACAAAACGCAAAAUCUUGCGAAAAUCAAACCCGUCCUCACUCAUGACCUCACUUUAUUAAAUUACAGCUUGUCAUUGAAUUGAGUGUUGCCUUAAUUAAGCCAUCAAAUUAAUAAAGUGAUGGUCAUUAAGAAAUACACUUAGUUACUUCCUGAUGGUAAGAUUCAAUAAUAUUCUAAUUUAAAAAAAAAAAAAAAGAUCCAUAUACCUUUUUCUUGUGUAAUUUAAUUUUCAGUCCAGUCCACCCUCCCAUUUUAUCAUAAAAGUGUAUACAAACAUACGUUUUACUCAAUGUUUACUUAGAAACAAAUGGCGCGCGUACGAUUGCCGAUCUAGUACCACUCUCGUAUGCUUGGUGGGAUUCGGCUUCACCAAAUUUGUAGCAUAUAUUUUACUUUAAUGAGAAAAUCAAAUAAUUAUUGAACAAAUAAUUUUUUUUUCAAUAUACUUUCUUAAAAUGUAUGGAGUUGGUAAAGUGCAAAUUCAUUUUUUAGCCCUUUGACUCCUCCAAAAUCAAAACUAAAAUUAAUGGUCAGUUAAAUAAUGUUACUUGAAAAUCAUUUCCUAGCUAGAAUUUGUUUAAUUCUAUUAAUUUACAAUCGUUUUUCAUUUUACUUAAUUAAUUAAAGUGAAUUUAUUAUGUAUACAUUCUACAUACAUAAAGUUUUAAUAUUCAGUGUUGAAUUGAAUUGUACUAAAUUUUUUAUAAUUUUUUGUCAGACCUGCGUUUUUAACAGUUUAAUAGUAAUAUUGAUAGCACAUAAUAUACAGGAUUAAGAGAGAUCGAUUUCGACUGCUACAAGAUUUUUAGGAUUGCAUGCACAAGGGUUUAAAAACAAAGUGUACACUUAAUUACACCAAACGAGGGUGCAUUUUUAUGAUGAAAUAAAAACUACGUGCAGGGUUGUAAAAGUGGCUCCAUAAUUAGCGUACAUUAACAUUCAUCUAGCUACCACUUCCGAAAAUGAUACAUCAUAAGCCGAACAUUUUUCCAAUUUUGUUGUAGAUAAUAGUUCAAUCCCAAUUUCAUCAACUUGUUUUGAGAAAGCAGGCUUCUUGGGAGUAUUUGUAUUUGUGGUUUCAUUCUUGAGCAUUGAGGAAACUUCCAGCAUUGAAGGUCUAUCGUUUGGAUUCUCCUGGACACACAACAAAGCUAUUUCCACACAUCUCAUUAAUUUACAAGGGGAAUUUCUAUCAUCUAGGAAUGAAUCCACAAACUCCACGCCUUUGCCAACUUUCCACAACUCAUAUGCCUGAAAUUAUCAAGUACCAUCUUGUUACAUAAUUUAUACUUCUUAAUUAAGUGCGCAUAUGUGUACUCAGGGUUACUAUAGCCGAAGAAACUUACGUGCUCUAGAAUGCUUAAAUUUUCAUUGAUGCCACAUAACACUGAAAGCCUCUUUCCACUUAUGAUUUGUAGAAGUAAAACUCCGAAACUAAAAACGUCUGAUUUGGUAGAGUAUACACCUUGUCUGGCGUACUCAGGAGGAAUACAGCCUCUGCGUUCAAAAUAACCAAGUAUAUAUGAGUAAGGGAUUUUGCAAUUUAAUAAAUUUGUAAAACCCAUUUUAAAUUGUGGUAAAAGUCCAUUCUGCAUUUUAUUAAAGUGCUGAAUUCCUUAUUCGAAACCCAAUAUAUGUAUAACAAACAGAAGCUUGAGUAAAGGAUAUCAUUUAGAUGUAAUAUACUUACAUUGUUCCCACAACUUGUUCUGUAUUCGCUUCGAGACUCUCUUUUGCAAAAAUCCUAGCCAAACCAAAAUCUGAAAUUUUAGGUUUCAUACCUUCACCUAACAAAAUAUUACUGGCUUUCAAGUCUCGAUGAAUAAUAGUCAGUCUUGAAUAUUCCUGGAGGUAUAAAAGCCCUUGAGUUAUCCCUUCAAUGAUAUGAACACGUUUUUUCCAAUCCAAAAUAAGUCUUCUGAUGGGAUCUACAACAAAUAUAUAGUUUUGGACAAUAAGUGAUAUGCAAAUGAAUUUUAUACACAAUUAAUAUUAACUUGAUUUCAGAACAAACCAAAAAGGUAGCAAUCCAAGCUUUUGUAUGGCAUGUAUUCGUAGACCAGCAUCUGUUCCUCACUGUCAAUGCAAAAACCUAAAACUCUAAUAAGAUUUACAUGUUGGAGUUUUGCAGUAAGCAUAACCUCAUUCUUAAACUCCUCAAAUCCCUGUGCGGAUGAUUUCGAAAGUUUCUUCACUGCUAUCACCCCUCCACAGGGUAAUACACCCUGCAACCCAAAAAAAAAAACCACGUUCAUAUAAAGCUUUCACUAAUUAGAGAAGCUGAGAAAUGUUAGCCAAACAAUAUGCUACCCCCCAAAGUUGAGGGCACCAUUUUAAGUCCUUUAAGUCCCCAUGGACGCAAAAUGUAAAUCUCCUCUCACAGAAUAUGGAUAUGGGUAGAGGUAUCUUCCUAAAAUAUUAGUCGAAGUAGUUAUAUCCCUCUAGUGUGAGGUUAGAGGUCUCAUCUCUAAUAGGCAUAGAUUUUUAAAUUAUAUGUUUUGGGCCUCUGAAUUCUAUGACGAGUGUACAAAUUCAAACUUCCGAUAGGAUCCAAAUUGCAACAUUGUGGAUUGUAACAAAUUAAAAUAUAGGUAUACACACACACACACACAUAUGUUACCUUGUAAACAGGACCAUAUCCACCCUCCCCAAGCUUAUUUCUAAUUGAAAAUCCCUCGGUGGCCGCCUCAAUAUCAGCCAAACUAUAUACUCUGAGAUUAGGAACAUUUAUGUUAAAGUCUCCAGCUUCUGUUUCAUUAUUUGCUCUCGUGUUUGAUGCUUUAGCAGAAUCCUCUGUUCCUAACAUCAACCAAGAGUAAAUAUUAGAUAAUUAAUUGUAUGUCAGCCUCAGUGAUAUAUAUGUGUGUGUGUGUGUGUGUGUGUGUGUGUGUGUGUGUGUGUUUGUGUUUGUGUGUGUGAAUGAAAUGCAUGCUUAAUGAUAAUUGAUAGCUGAAGCUUGUUACCUUCUAUUAACUUGAGCCUUUUCCUCUGGUUGUAUUUAUAUGCACAACAGCCUAGAAGGAGAGUCAAAGCUGCCGCUGCAGUGGAAAUGAGUGCAAUGGACAGACACCGGUUGUUACUAUGUUCAUCUUUUUCAGCUGAAGCAGAAGUAAUCCUGUCUUUUUGUGCUGGAAAUAUGUAUAGUUCACCAAUUAAUAAUAACAAGCUUGAGAUACCAUAACAAUCAUUAUUAAUCAGAGAGAACAAUUAUUGCAUAUAUAAAUACCUGCAGCUUGAGAAAGCACCCAAUUAUGAUCAUCAAAAGGAACUCGCCACACAUAGUAACCAAGCAAUCUCUUCUCUUUGGCAUAGGCGAUCUUAGCUCUAACAGCCUCCACAUCAUCAAAACCAAACCAAACCGUCCCAGUGGAGAAGUAAUUCACCACAUAAGUUGAAUUGUACAUAACUUGAACAUUAGGAGCAUAGUUCUUGAUGUGAUUCUUGAUAGUCCUAUAGGUCACAAGGCCAUCAUUAGUCAAAGCUGGUCCUGCUGCUGCUGCUCCAAUACCAUUGUCUUCAGGUUUCACAAGCCUCCAUGCAUAGCCAUAGAAAGGCAAAGACAUAGCCAACUUAUCAGCCGAUAGCCCUCUCUCAAUCCAUGCCUUUAAAACCUGAUCGGUACUUUUAGCAAAGCCGCCGCUACUUGAGCCAUGGAGAGCCGCAGGUGGCGCAGUGAAGUUUGUUGACAAAGGCUUGUAGUAGUUAGCAGUAACUGCAUGAACCCAAUUCAAGUUUCGUUGCAUCGAAUUCAAAAGAUAUGAAUUCGCUGGUGGUGAAUAACGAAAUCUUGCGGUCAAAAUCAGCGGGGAUUGCUGGCGACUAGAGUUUAUUGCCUCUAAUUUUGUAGCAGCAAUUCGCCACUCGUCAAAAAGUAAACCAAUAUUGAACAUAUCGGUGCUUGUGUUGGGAGCUGUCCAAGCAAAAUCUAGGCCCUGAAAGCCAUAAAGCCUAGCUAUUCUUAUUGAAGAGUCGAUGAAAGAUUUUCUGUGAGAAGAAUUUCUCACCAUUGAAGAAUAUAUAGAAUAGUUUGUAUGUCUUCCUUCUCCAAUGGAGAGAAGCAUAGUGAUUGAUAGGUUCUGUUUCUUCACAGUGUCUGCGAAUUUGGCGAUUUGAUUUUCAUCGGAUGGUAAUGAUAAAGAUAGCUGGUAAGUGGUAGAAUUGAUAUCAGCAGAAGAGCAAAUAAGGUGAGUGAAGAGAUCAUAAUUUAUGCCCGAAAUGGUGGACACUUCGCUUAGAUUCAAGUAACCGACCCUAAUCCACGGUUUUGCUUUCGCUGGAUGAAGUUCUGAAUAGAGCAACGUGUGCAAGAUGAUGCUGAUAAUUAUGGAUGCCAUUUAAGACUUUGUUAGGAAUGGAAAUGAAUGCACACU
rnacentral:lncRNA from 1 species